rnacentral:rRNA from 1 species
AGAGCACCUCAUCGAAGCGCAAAUAUUGCCCCUCGAGUUGGCGCCAUCAGAGACAUUGACAUCAUCGAAUUGUGGAGGCCACGACGCCAUGGAGAUGGAAGAGAAGGACACCUCGGUAACAAGUAAGCGAUGGCGCCGACAUGGAGAGAGAAAAAUGGAGGCCGCAAGACCACGAUCGAGAGAGAAAGAGCGAAGCAGGAAGACGAGAUGCAAGCGUUCACGCACUAAGGCUAAGGGACGAACGCUCACUCUUAGUCCCGUUCAAAGAAGAAAAAUAUCAAAGAAACAGAGGACAAUAUAAAAUGGAUGCGGGGAAAUUUGCGGUGUGGAGGGAAGGAGAGAAACCGCCCUCGUGGAGCGAAAUCCGACCGGUGAGCAAAGCGAACCCCAUUUGAACCAGCGGAGGCCACCGCAUUCCUGCGGCGCAACGAGGCCACCUCGCCCACCACACGCAAAGCCAGGCAGCGUCGGGCGCGAGGGAGACGGGAGACGGAUCGACCGACCGACCCGACCGGCGCCGAUGGCGAGCUCGCUGGCCCGCCUGGGGGCGGCGCUGCCCCGCGCGCGCCCGCUCGCCGCCGCGGCGGCGGUGGCGGCGGCGCGGACCCCGCCGCGGGGAGCGCGGUGGGACCCCGCCGCCCCACGCCCCGCCUCGCUGUACGCUCGCAGGUGCCAGGCUCACUCGGACGUAAAGGCGCCCCCUGCAUCGGAGUCCAAGGAUGCGGGGAGCUCGUCCCAGGGCUGGAGGAUCAAGAUGCUCUACGAUGGUGAAUGCCCGCUCUGUAUGCGUGAGGUAAACAUGUUGAGGGAAAGGAACAAAUCCUAUGGAGCUAUAAAUUUUGUCGACAUCAGCUCGAAGGAUUACUCUCCGAAGGACAAUCAGGAUCUUGAUUAUGAAACUGCGAUGGGGAGGAUACAUGCCAUUCUCUCAGAUGGAACUAUCGUCACAGAUGUUGAGGCAUUCAGAAGGCUUUAUGAGGAAGUUGGACUCGGAUGGGUUUAUGCAGUUACUAAGUAUGAGCCUGUGGCUACCAUAGCAAAUGCAGUAUAUGGUGUAUGGGCCAAAUACCGUAUGGAAGUUACAGGUCGACCUCCCCUGGAGGAAAUUUUUGCGGCCCGAAGACAAGCGGGUGAAUGUAAAGAUGAUAAAGCAUGCAAGAUGUGAGCAGUGCUCUGCACGUCUUCACUUCUACACACUGUUAGAUAGGCACACAUACAUAUACAGUUAGUCUAAUAUUUGAAGGGUUGCGAGAUUGACGACAGAGACGAUGAUGUUUUCUGUGUUGGGUAGUCAAUAAUUCCAUAAUCUUGCAUGGAUUCUAUGAGCAAGAUACACAACUUUAGCAAGUUAAUUCCGGGAUGCUGUCUUCAGUUCUGCACUGAGUUCGCUUGUUGCAUCGUAUCCUUCAGUGUCCACCUUCUCUGUUUCACUGUGUAUGACCAGACUUGUUCUCUUGUGCAGCAAGAUAUUACAAUACCAUGUAUUGGAAAGUGGAGUGAGUCACUUUCAUACAUAUGUUUAGAUAUUACUCCCUCCAUUCCUAAAUAUAUGACGUUUUGGUAGUUCAGUCUGAACUACCAAAACGUCAUAUAUUUGGAAUUGGAGGAAGUACAUACAUUAACUAGUCAAACGUUCAAAUUAUUCCGAGAUUGAUG